CAGGAGAACCUCAGGAGCUUGACUAG
rnacentral:piRNA from 1 species